rnacentral:rRNA from 1 species
GCUGGUGGCAGGCCUAACACAUGCAAGUCGAGCGAGUACCUUCGGGUCUAGCGGCGGACGGGUUAGUAACGCGUGGGAACGUGCCCUUCACUACGGAAUAGUCCCGGGAAACUGGGUUUAAUACCGUAUACGCCCUUCGGGGGAAAGAAUUUCGGUGAAGGAUCGGCCCGCGUCUGAUUA